GUUUCGGCAAGGGGGUCAUCCCGACUUACCAACCCGAUGCAAACUGCGAAUACCGGAGAAUGUUAUCACGGGAGACACACGGCGGGUGCUAACGUCCGUCGUGAAGAGGGAAACAACCCAGACCGCCAGCUAAGGUCCCAAAGUCAUGGUUAAGUGGGAAACGAUGUGGGAAGGCCCAGACAGCCAGGAUGUUGGCUUAGAAGCAGCCAUCAUUUAAAGAAAGCGUAAUAGCUCACUGGUCGAGUCGGCCUGCGCGGAAGAUGUAACGGGGCUAAACCAUGCACCGAAGCUGCGGCAGCGACACUAUGUGUUGUUGGGUAGGGGAGCGUUCUGUAAGCCUGUGAAGGUGUGCUGUGAGGCAUGCUGGAGGUAUCAGAAGUGCGAAUGCUGACAUAAGUAACGAUAAAGCGGGUGAAAAGCCCGCUCGCCGGAAGACCAAGGGUUCCUGUCCAACGUUAAUCGGGGCAGGGUGAGUCGACCCCUAAGGCGAGGCCGAAAGGCGUAGUCGAUGGGAAACAGGUUAAUAUUCCUGUACUUGGUGUUACUGCGAAGGGGGGACGGAGAAGGCUAUGUUGGCCGGGCGACGGUUGUCCCGGUUUAAGCGUGUAGGCUGGUUUUCCAGGCAAAUCCGGAAAAUCAAGGCUGAGGCGUGAUGACGAGGCACUACGGUGCUGAAGCAACAAAUGCCCUGCUUCCAGGAAAAGCCUCUAAGCAUCAGGUAACAUCAAAUCGUACCCCAAACCGACACAGGUGGUCAGGUAGAGAAUACCAAGGCGCUUGAGAGAACUCGGGUGAAGGAACUAGGCAAAAUGGUGCCGUAACUUCGGGAGAAGGCACGCUGAUAUGUAGGUGAAGUCCCUCGCGGAUGGAGCUGAAAUCAGUCGAAGAUACCAGCUGGCUGCAACUGUUUAUUAAAAACACAGCACUGUGCAAACACGAAAGUGGACGUAUACGGUGUGACGCCUGCCCGGUGC
rnacentral:rRNA from 1 species